AUGAAGAGGCGGUGGAGGUGGGAGCCGAGCUGGUGGUCUCUGCCACACCACCUCAAAUACCAACUGCUGAAAUAUUCCACGUCCCCAGAGCCAGAGGCCCAAGAAAGAAAACCAGCUGGGACUCUGAUGACAAUGACCCCCAAGUGGCUGGUCCAGAGCAACGAAGUGGCUGUGGUAAGUUUGAUUGCUUUUGUUGUGCUUCCUCUCCUCCAGGGGUUGGAUUUUUAUUAUGAUUAUUUAAAGAUAUUUAUGAUAAAAUAAACAGUUACAAAUGUGAACAGGAUUGUAUUGCACUGGGGUUCUCCUUGGCACUCUUGCUCUCACAGCUGCAAGUGUUCCCUCCUCCACGUUAUUAAUUUAGAGGUAAUCAGGUCUGCAUCUGCAGCUGUGCAGCAUAUGUUUUCCUAAAACAGUCAUGGCCACGGGCACCAGAACAAUUAAGACUAGAAAAUAUGCCAACAUUUUUUCCCCCCUCUUCUGGUGAAAUUAUACUGUUUUUCUUUCAUUUUUUGGUGUUGUAUGAUUUUAUCAUCAGAAAAGAGCAAAUAUUUUUUGAGCACCUAUUGUGUAUCUGAGCUAGUUGCUUUUCACAAAUGUUAUCCCAGAUAGAUAUAUCAUCUUGGUUUUUAAGAGUGGUUCUAAUUUUAUUAGUGGAGAGAGUGGCUAAGGUCUGAAAUGCUGUGUGGCAGGAGAGAGUAAUGUGAAGUCAGAGAAGUAGGAUACAUCUAACACUUAGUGGAUUGUUACAUCCAGGAAAAAGCUGGUUAAAUGUUGUCGAGAUGGGAGUUGCAAUUUCAACUGAGUUCUAAAUAUUCUUGGUCUGCUGCUGCU
rnacentral:lncRNA from 1 species